rnacentral:rRNA from 1 species
UCAAGCGACUAAGUGCAUAUGGUGGAUGCCUUGGCGAUCACAGGCGAAGAAGGGCGUGGUAGCCUGCGAAAAGCUACGGGGAGCUGGCAAACAAGCAUUGAUCCGUAGAUGUCCGAAUGGGGAAACCCACCGCGUAAGCGGUAUCCCAGACUGAAUACAUAGGUCUGAGGAGGCGAACCGAGCGAACUGAAACAUCUCAGUAGCUCGAGGAAAAGAAAUCAACCGAGAUUCCGAAAGUAGUGGCGAGCGAAAUCGGAAGAGCCUGUACGUUUUAGCUGUUGCAAUAGUUGAAUGGGAUGGAAAGCCCAGCCAUAGCAGGUGAUAGCCCUGUAGACGAAAUUGCGGCGGUGGAACUAAGCGUACGAUAAGUAGGGCGGGACACGUGUAAUCCUGUCUGAAGAUGGGGGGACCAUCCUCCAAGGCUAAAUACUCGUGAUCGACCGAUAGUGAACAAGUACCGUGAGGGAAAGGCGAAAAGAACCCCGGAAGGGGAGUGAAAUAGAUCCUGAAACCGUAUGCAUACAAACAGUAGGAGCCUCGCAAGGGGUGACUGCGUACCUUUUGUAUAAUGGGUCAGCGACUUACAUUCAGUGGCAAGCUUAACCGAAUAGGGAAGGCGUAGCGAAAGCGAGUCCGAAUAGGGCGUCUAGUCGCUGGGUGUAGACCCGAAACCAGGUGAUCUAUCCAUGGCCAGGUUGAAGGCACGGUAACACGUGCUGGAGGACCGAACCCACUAAUGUUGAAAAAUUAGGGGAUGAGCUGUGGAUAGGGGUGAAAGGCUAAACAAACCUGGAGAUAGCUGGUUCUCUCCGAAAGCUAUUUAGGUAGCGCCUCACGUAUUACUGCCGGGGGUAGAGCACUGUUAUGGCUAGGGGGUCAUGGCGACUUACCAAACCAUGGCAAACUCCGAAUACCGGCAAGUACAGCGUGGGAGACAGAGCACCGGGUGCUAACGUCCGGACUCAAGAGGGAAACAACCCAGACCGCCAGCUAAGGUCCCAAACUAUCGCUAAGUGGGAAACGAAGUGGGAAGGCAUAGACAGUCAGGAGGUUGGCUUAGAAGCAGCCAUCCUUUAAAGAAAGCGUAAUAGCUCACUGAUCGAGUCGUCCUGCGCGGAAGAUGUAACGGGGCUAAGCGAUAGACCGAAGCUGCGGGUGUGCAAUUUAUUGCACGCGGUAGGAGAGCGUUCCGUAAGCCUGCGAAGGUAGCUUGUAAAGGCUGCUGGAGGUAUCGGAAGUGCGAAUGCUGACAUGAGUAGCGAUAAAGGGGGUGAAAAGCCCCCUCGCCGUAAGUCCAAGGUUUCCUGCGCAACGUUCAUCGGCGCAGGGUGAGUCGGCCCCUAAGGUGAGGCAGAGAUGCGUAGCUGAUGGGAAGCUGGUUAAUAUUCCAGCACCAUUGUAUGGUGCGAUGGGGGGACGGAUUGCGGAAGGUUAUCAGGGUGUUGGAUGUCCCUGUUGCUGCAUUGGAGAAGGCGUUUAGGUAAAUCCGGGCGCGUAAUUCAAGGGUGUGGCACGAGCGAACUUGUUCGCGUAGUAACUGGAAGUGGUUCCAAGAAAAGCCUCUAAGCUUCAGCCAUACAAGACCGUACCGCAAACCGACACAGGUGGACGGGAUGAAUAUUCCAAGGCGCUUGAGAGAACUCAGGAGAAGGAACUCGGCAAAUUGAUACCGUAACUUCGGGAGAAGGUAUGCCUCGGUAGUGUGAAGGGCUCGCGCCCGGAGCAUGAUGAGGCCGCAGAGAAUCGGUGGCUGCGACUGUUUAUUAAAAACACAGCACUCUGCUAAGACGAAAGUCGACGUAUAGGGUGUGACGCCUGCCCGGUGCCGGAAGGUUAAUUGAUGGGGUGCAAGCUCUUGAUCGAAGCCCCGGUAAACGGCGGCCGUAACUAUAACGGUCCUAAGGUAGCGAAAUUCCUUGUCGGGUAAGUUCCGACCUGCACGAAUGGCGUAACGAUGGCCACACUGUCUCCUCCUGAGACUCAGCGAAGUUGAAGUGUUUGUGAUGAUGCAAUCUACCCGCGGCUAGACGGAAA